AGUGAACGCUGGCGGUAGGCCUAACACAUGCAAGUCGAACGGCAGCACAGUAAGAGCUUGCUCUUACGGGUGGCGAGUGGCGGACGGGUGAGGAAUACAUCGGAAUCUACUUUUUCGUGGGGGAUAACGUAGGGAAACUUACGCUAAUACCGCAUACGACCUACGGGUGAAAGCAGGGGAUCUUCGGACCUUGCGCGAUUGAAUGAGCCGAUGUCGGAUUAGCUAGUUGGCGGGGUAAAGGCCCACCAGGGCGACGAUCCGUAGCUGGUCUGAGAGGAUGGUCAGCCACACUGGAACUGAGACAGGGUCCAGACUCCUACGGGAGGCAGCAGUGGGGAAUAUUGGACAAUGGGCGCAAGCCUGAUCCAGCCAUACCGCGUGGGUGAAGAAGGCCUUCGGGUUGUAAAGCCCUUUUGUUGGGAAAGAAAAGCAGCAGGUUAAUACCCCGCUGUUCCGACGGUACCCAAAGAAUAAGCACCGGCUAACUUCGUG
rnacentral:rRNA from 1 species